rnacentral:lncRNA from 1 species
UUCUAUUUAGUCCAUAGAUGACAUUUAUGGACUGAGUAGAAAUGAUGUUCUCUCUUUGUUAAUUCUGCAGAAAAAAACACAGAAUUAAGGUUCAGCAACAGAAAGGAGUUCAUCAGCCUGUCUUUCAGAAGGUUAACAGGGAAAUGCAACAGAAAUACAGAUGAUUUCAGCUUACGGUCAAAGUUACUGCACUGUAAGAGAGUUAAGCAGGAAAGAAUGUGAUGAGGACAUAAAAGAAUAAGACAUAAUUGCGAAUACCAAGCAGCUGAACUUUGGGCCCUCUUUGCAGCCCAUGUUUCAGGGCUAGAGCCCUGCUCCAUGGAGGGUUGACCGUGAACAACCAGGCAGUCUGCUGCUGUUUCUGGGAGUGGAUUUCACCCUCUUUGUCAGUGCUUUAUGAUGUCUUUCACUAGCUAGAUGAAAUAAAAGGCUAGCUGUACU